UACGUAGGGUGCGAGCGUUGUCCGGAAUUACUGGGCGUAAAGAGUUCGUAGGCGGUUUGUCGCGUCGUUUGUGAAAACCCGGGGCCCAACCUCGCGCCUGCAGUGGGUACGGGCAGACUAGAGUGCGGUAGGGGAGAUUGGAAUUCCUGGUGUAGCGGUGGAAUGCGCAGAUAUCAGGAGGAACACCGAUGGCGAAGGCAGCCCCUUGGACCUGUACUGACGCUCAUGCACGAAAGCGUGGGGAGCAAACAGG
rnacentral:rRNA from 1 species